UACGUAGGGCGCAAGCGUUAUCCGGAAUUAUUGGGCGUAAAGAGCUCGUAGGCGGUUUGUCGCGUCUGCCGUGAAAAGUCCGGGGGCUCAACUCCGGAUCUGCGGUGGGGUACGGGGCAGGCUCGAGUUCGGUAGGGGAGACUGGAAUUCCUGGUGUAGCGGUGAAAUGCGCAGAUAUCAGGAGGAACACCGGUGGCGAAGGCGGGUCUCUGGGCCGAUACUGACGCUGAGGAGCGAAAGCGUGGGGGAGCGAACAGG
rnacentral:rRNA from 1 species